CACGUAGGGUGCGAGCGUUGUCCGGAAUUAUUGGGCGUAAAGAGCUCGUAGGCGGUGUGUCGCGUCGGAUGUGAAAGCCCGGGGCUUAACUCCGGGUCUGCAUUCGAUACGGGCAGGCUAGAGUUCGGUAGGGGAGAUCGGAAUUCCUGGUGUAGCGGUGAAAUGCGCAGAUAUCAGGAGGAACACCGGUGGCGAAGGCGGAUCUCUGGGCCGAUACUGACGCUGAGGAGCGAAAGCGUGGGGAGCGAACAGG
rnacentral:rRNA from 1 species